rnacentral:lncRNA from 1 species
GGCAAAUCUGGAUGCAGGGGCAAACAUUAUCUGAUUUUUUCUUUAUUGUUCUGUUUCUUUUUUGGUUUCGGGUAUUUGGAUUUGAUUUUGUGAUCGUUGUUCUGAUUGUGCAAGGAGGAGUCUAUUGCACGUAGAACAUAGAAACUGCCUUUUUAUAUAGUUUGUAAUCGAAGAUUUACUCUACUUCUUUCUGCUUCACGUUUCAUUUUUGAAUUUCAAUUUAUAAGUUGGAACCGCGGCUACGCUUAUAAUAGAGAUCAUGUGGUCGUGCAUAUGUUACCGAGACCCGUCUUCAAUAGCCCGUCCGAAUUUGAAAAUCCUUGGCCACAGCCUUAUUGGUCUUGACAGUAAGCCAGCGAAUGUACCAAGAAACCGGUGGCAGAUUGAAAAAAAAAUGAAGGCUUAAAAACCUGUUCCACUACCACCUCAUGUCGUUUUUCUCUAUCUUAUAACGUACCUGCCGACAAUAAGCGCAAUACCAAGAGUUGAACAAAAAACAUUGUUUCUCCUGACAAAUAGAGAGAGACCUUUCUUACAUCGACUGUAUGUACACGUAUUGGGAUUGUUCUUGACCACCUAUGGAACUUCCAUGCCAAAAAUUUGUCACCAUCCUCUGGCUGCCCUUUUCCAUUAUCCUUUGAUGUAACUUUUCUUGAUAUGUUUUGCUUCAUAAGAAAAAAAAACUCAAUUCUCUCAAAUAUUGCUUUUAUUUAAAGAUUUUAAAUAUACACGUUUGACUCAUACAACGAUAAGUUUAAAAAAUAAACCGGAAGUUCGUGGUCUUUGAUCAUUCUAGCGAAUGAUCGGUAGUUUGGAUUAGUUAACAUUUCGUAAGCUGCUUGAGGUGGUUUGUGUGCCAGUAUUUUUCAGAGAUCGAAUGAUCGUUGUGAAGAUUGUAUUUGAAAAUAGUUUCUUAAGCAAACACUUUGCGGCUAGAACUAUUGAGUAAGGAAUAUUUUUCUUCAUUAACAGAAAGGAAAUAAAGAUGUAAGCAAAAUCAAAAGGUGACCCCAUUAUACACAAACGCAAGAAACAUUCAAUUAUUUAGGAUUUCAUUAUUUAGAGACAUUUUAAUGUAGUGGGAAAAAACAAAAGAAUGGAUGAAGGAAUACAAAAGCAUGCUUUACGCUAAUCCCUAUGUUGUGUAUAAUAACUUUAAACCAUUUUCUCUAGCAGAGCCCCACAACAUCCGACCGCUUAUUAUCACGAGACUUUAAACCAGUCACAAUAGCUACAAUGGAUCCUCGAUACUAUAUAAUUUAUGUAUAUUAUUAAAAAAUGAUUGCCUACAUAUACAAUACACAAUUACAUAAUCACACAUUUAGACAAAAUAAUGUAUUAAAAACCGAAUAUAGUAUCACAUGACAAAUUAAUAUUUGUUAUGUUGUUAACACCGUAAAUAUAAUUUUGAUAUAAAAAGUUAUGGCGUCAUAUGAUUCAUAUAUAUAGUUCGUGUAAUUUUUUAAUAAAUUAUUUUUAUCCGGAUCUGUGGUUAUGUGGUGGUAUAUUAUUCUUCUAGCUUUUUUUUUUUUUGAAACAUUUUUUUUUUUUUUGAAACACAUUAUUCUUCUAGCUACUAAUCAUAUUUUCUAUAUUAUUGUAUUUUCAUUUGUUUUUUGUGUGUUUGUUAGUUUUUUUAUUUUAUUUUAGUGAAUUCUGUUACACAUGCUCAUCAUAUAUUAAGAAACUUGAAACUAUUGUGUGUAAAGAAGUGAAUUAUCACAAAAUAUUGAUGAGUCGAUAAUUAGUUAAGCGGACUCCAUAAAUCUUUUGAUUUCUUUUAUUGGAAAAGAUGAAAUUGUACAAAAUCUUACUUUAUCUUAUCACAAAGAAAACAGGUUUAUUCCAAAGUACAUCUCUCUCCUUGCACUUACACAUCACAAAGAAUCUCUUUAGUAGUCUCUCUUUAUGAAAAGAAAAGAGAGAAAAACAAGAGAGAAUGUUCACUGAAUUUAAAACUUUGGUUUCAGACACAUUAGUCUUAUUCCUUUUAUUAUCUACCACUUUUGGUAUGAUAAAUUUAUUUCAAACCACAAUAUGCUUCUAUUAAUUCAUUACCACUUAUCUCACAUGGAAAGAAGCAUAUUCACAUUUCUUGUCCCACAAGUACCUUCAAAAUAACCUUUCUUUAUCUCUACUCAACGAACUUCAAAGUAAGCCUGACAACUUCAUCAUCUUCUUAUACCACUUCUUGAUUUAUCUCUAAGAACCAAACAUAAGCCAAAACCUAGGAGAGAAAAUGGGAGACCAAGGAGUGCAACAGAUGCAGCAACCUGUUGUAGUGUAUCCAACCGCAUACACUAAACAGUAUCCAUAUCAAUCCUCUUCGUCUUCAUCUUCCUCUGGCUCUCGCGGUUCUUUUGGUACGGUCUUCAUAGUCCUAGCCGUAAUCCUUGUCUUGUCAGUUCUGGCUUGUGUCUUCGGGAGGCUAUUCAACCGUGAGGCUAAGCAGCACCACAGCAAGCAACCAAAAGGGUCGUCUAAGAAGAGCCGUGAGAUUCGGCCUGUGGACCGUGAGCCAAGGGAGAGAGGUGAUUUGGAGUUUGGGUUGGACAUGAAACGCCCUGAGAAUGUUGAGAAACCCUCUCGAAGAGAUCAGGGUGAUGAUAUAGAAUUGGGGUUUGAUAACAAGAGAGAAGAAAGAGGAAGAGGGGGUCCACCUCCUCCUCCCGUUAUCAAACAUGGAGUGAGGUUCAAGUUACCGGAAAAUGGAGACCAUCAUGCUAAAGGUGAAGUCAGACGUGGAGGUCCUGACUUUGAGUUCCGACCAAGACACUAAUUAUCUUGUUGUGUCCAAAAACAAACCACUUAUGCUUAUUAUAUCUUAACUGCUUUAUUUCGUUUCUUGUUUGUGUGUUUUUUUUUUUUUUUCCUUUUCUUUUCUAGAUUGAUUUUAUGGGUAUGGAACUUAGAGCUGAAGCUAUCAAACUUCUAAGUCUCUUGGUGUGAUAUAUACAGCAUUUUCUAUGUAAAUUCUAUAAGAAUCUUGGCAAAAUUAAAGAAUCAACAAAAUUCUAGAAGAACGUGUUUUAUCAGAAUACAGAGUUCUGCACUAUUCAUCCUCCCUCAAAAACAAAACUAAAGACACCUAACAAGAAAUGCAUCUCAAAAAAAAACAAUACACAAAAAUAAUGUCUUUAAAUAGCUCAAGAAAAAGAGGCAGAGUUAUGUAUUACUUUCACCAGUUGUAUGAUUAGAAACGUCUGUUAUUGAAAGGUCGAGUCUCGGAUUCAUUCCCUGAGAAAUCAGAAGAGCUUAUGACAGAGUGAUCUCCACUAUACAUCCCUGCCUCUCCGCUAUCACCAGAACCAAACGCCAUUUUCCUGAACUUCGUGAUGUCUUGGUUGUACUGCCCUGAGUUAUAAGUUGUGCUUUGCCCAACUUUGAUUCCGUUGCUAAUAUCUCCCGACUCCUCAUCACAGUCCAAUGCUCUCACAACCUUUUUUUUACCAAAUGAAUUGAGUUUCGUGUAGAGCAAGCAAGAGUUGUUUUGCUAAAUAUGUUUACCUGAACCAUGCGUGGACGUUUAGGACCAGAAUGUCUAACACAUGCAGCGGCUGUCUCAAUCAUUCUGAAGACUUCAUGCUCCACAUAAUAUUUUUCGAGUCGUCUAUCGAUCAAUUCGCUGAAAUCUCCAGUCUCAAUGGCUUUCAGAAGCAGCGGACGUGCCUGUCAAGUCAUUUAUAAGUAGUACUGCAUGAGUAAACUAGAGCCAAUCUUUUACUGUGAUUGAAGAUUGGUUUCUUACCCAUUCGACCAAACUCUCUUCUCCUAGAGGCUGGUACUGGUCGACUGGUUUGCGUCCAGUUACAAGCUCUAAGAGAACAACCCCAAAUGAGAAAACAUCUGAUCUAUCCGUCAGUUUCCCGCUUUGUGCAUAUUCUGGUGCCAAGUACCUGAAAAACAAAACCCAAUAACGAAGCUCAUGUACUUUUCAACAACUUAAAUGUUUUGGCAAUAAAACAUUUCAGCCUUAUAACAUCUCUAUAUAAACAAACUGGUUAACCAUUGUCAGUUCUAGAAGUUCAAGCACCUAAUACUAUAAAAGAAUUUUUCUUCUCAAAAUCUUACCCAAAUGUUCCCAUAACACGAGUUGAUACAUGGGUUUGUGUUGAAUCAUUGAGCUUGGCAAGUCCAAAGUCAGCAACCUAAACACCAAAGAAGCAGAAAGUUAAGAACAAAUAAAAGUAUUAUCAACUAAAACUUUACAGCCAAACAGCAGAAGUGUUAAAAAAAAGGAUGGUUGUCUAUAUUGCCUGAGCUUCAAAGUCAUCGUCCAGCAGGAUGUUUGCUGACUUUAUGUCCCUGUGAAUGAUUUUUGGGUGACCUGCAAAACAAAACAACACUUGAGACAAUAUUUCUCUUGGUGUCUGAACCAGCAUUGUUAGCCUUUCCCAUUUAUGUCUUAAGGUCUCCACUCUCUCCGUCAGCGUCACUGGUAUAAAUGAAACAUCUCAAUCUUCGUGUUGAUUUGUUCUCUUGCUUAUAACGUUUCUCUGAUCAAUUUAUCUCUCUGUUCAGGUACAUCCAGAGCACAUGUGCCACUUCAGGCGAGGGGCUUUACGAAGGUCUUGACUGGUUGUCCAACAACAUCGCCGGCAAGGUAGAAUAGUUCCAUACCGCAGUUUGUUUUAUUUAUUUUUUCUUAUAUAUGUGCAAGUUGUAAUACUUUCUUCUGUGUUCUUGUUGCUUGAUUGUUGCAGGCGUAGAGGGAAAGCUUGUGGUUGAGCUGAUUUUGCUGGGCAAAUCUGGAUGCAUGGGCAAACAUUAUCUGAUUUUUUCUUUAUUGUUCUGUUCUUUUUUUUUCCUUUUUGGUUUCGGGUAUGUGGAUUUGAUUUUGUGAUCGUUGUUCUGAUUGUGCAAGGAGGAGUCUCUUGCACGUGGAACAUAGAAACUACCUUUUUAUAUAGUUUGUAAUCGAAGAUUUACUCUACUUCUUUCUGCUUCACGUUUCAUUUUUGAUAUUCAAUUUAUAAGUUGGAACCGCGGCUACGUUUA